CACGUAGGGCGCAAGCGUUGUCCGGAAUUAUUGGGCGUAAAGAGCUCGUAGGCGGUCUGUUACGUCUGCUGUGAAAACCCGGGGCUUAACCCUGGGCUUGCAGUGGAUACGGGCAGACUAGAGGCAGGUAGGGGAGAAUGGAAUUCCCGGUGUAGCGGUGAAAUGCGCAGAUAUCGGGAGGAACACCGGUGGCGAAGGCAGCUCGCUGGGACGUUACUGACGCUGAGACGCGAAAGCGUGGGGAGCAAACAGG
rnacentral:rRNA from 1 species